AUACGGAGGGGACUAGCGUUGUUCGGAAUUACUGGGCGUAAAGCGUACGUAGGCGGAUCAGAAAGUAUGGGGUGAAAUCCCAGGGCUCAACCCUGGAACUGCCUCAUAAACUCCUGGUCUUGAGUUCGAGAGGUGAGUGGAAUUCCGAGUGUAGAGGUGAAAUUCGUAGAUAUUCGGAGGAACACCAGUGGCGAAGGCGGCUCACUGGCUCGAUACUGACGCUGAGGUACGAAAGUGUGGGGAGCAAACAGGAUUAGAAACCCUAGUAGUCC
rnacentral:rRNA from 1 species